rnacentral:rRNA from 1 species
UACAGAGGGCUCAAGCGUUGUUCGGAUUCAUUGGGCGUAAAGGGUGCGCAGGCGGUUCUGCAAGUCAGGCGUGAAAGCCCCGGGCUUAACCUGGGAAUGGCGCUUGAAACUACAGGACUGGAGUAUGGCAGAGGGAGGUGGAAUUCCACGUGUAGCGGUGAAAUGCGUAGAGAUGUGGAGGAACACCGAUGGCGAAGGCAGCCUCCUGGGCCAAUACUGACGCUCAUGCACGAAAGCGUGGGGAGCAAACAGG